rnacentral:sRNA from 1 species
UGGGGUUCUGAGGGCAAUGGCGGCGGUUGGCUCAGUUAAUCGAGUUUGGAUGUCAUGCUCGAUAUAGUUCCAUCAUUGGAAAUGAUUUUUCGGUUACAUGAU